rnacentral:lncRNA from 1 species
UUGCAUGGUUUCUAUUUCCUCUUAAAUUUAAAACACUUUUGGAGAUCGUUUUAAGGCCUCAUUCAUAAUGCUGUCAUAUUAUCAAGGUCAAUCCAAAGCAUUUCCUUAGUAAAACUCAUUAGAAAAAGAAAGUAAAUUGUCACUAGGAGCUCAUUCAGUUCUCAUUUUCCAGAAGUUAAGAUUAGUAAGUGAUCCUUGGAGGGGACAGUAUCCAGCCCCCUCUUCUCAAUUGCCUACCUUCUAGCUGGUGACACUGGGCCUGGUGUGAAAUGUCACAUAACAGCUAGGUCUGGUUAAAACAGAACAAGUAUGUUAAGAGUUUUGUCGUCCUUCCUCUCAGGCCCACAAAAACUCUGCUUUAUGGCUGAUUUAAUGGAAAUGCACUUGUGGGAGGUAGCCUGACACAAACUCAUGUGGUCCUGGAAUGAUCUGGAAUUCCUGGGCACUGAGGUCAUAGUAUCACAGAAUCAUUAAGUUGGAAAAGAUCAUCCAACCAUCUACCUUCCACCAAUACUGCCCACCAGACCAUGUCCCUUGGUACUGCAUCUACAUGGUUCUUGAACACCGCCAGGAACAGCGACUCCACCAUCUCCGUGGGCAGCUCAUUUCAGUGCCCAACCUCUCUUUCAGAGAAAUUUGUCGUGUCAGCUGAGAUCUGGAUGAAAACAUCCACAUCCAAAGUCAGUGGAUGCAGUUGCAGGAUGAAUCAAGUUGCACCAUUUAUUCCACAUCACAUUUAAACCAGGAUCAGGAGCAGCAGCAGAGCCCUGGCAUCCCAGCUGCCAAAUACAAGCUGUAACCACAAAACUAUCCUUCCUUCCUCCCACAGCUCCUCUACGCAGCUUCAAUGGGGGAGGGAAAAAAGCAGUCAGUGCUUCAAACUGGAAAAUGAACUCAGCAGUAUAAGAAAUUUUGUUUCCAAGUGUGGAAGGACAAGACGGGGAAGGAGGUAAAUCUACAAGUAUUCCACUAACUGAAAUAUCUUAUAAUCUUUAUAAGACAAGUGUUUUCCAACUAGAAUAGUUGUUCAUUCUUACAAAAUGUCUGGAGUGAGAACCACAGUAAAUCAUUGCAGCUCCUUUGAACUCCACAAAGCUUUUGCAAGCUGAGCAAGGCUGAAGAGCAGCUCUGGAAAACAUUCUCUUCAUUUGAAUAUUAAGAGGGCUAAUAAAAGAACGAGGACAUAACA